rnacentral:lncRNA from 10 species
CAUGAAAAUUAAAGAGUGAAGCAGAUGUAAUGGCCUGACAUUCCAAAAACUCUGAAUUGGGUUUAUUAGCACAAAUGUUGUGUUCAUUUGUUGAGCCAUAUCUCAGAAGAAGGAAAGGGAGCUACAGAAAGGAGGUUUAGGAUUGCAGAGAAGAUGCAAGAGCACUUUGGCCCAAUUCUCCAGCUCAACCCAGCAGCUGAAAAGCUUCAAGAGAUCUAGGAAAAGACAUUUUCAUGUUAAUGAGAAUUUCCACCAUUGUAGAGAAUUUCCUUCCUACUGAGAAUCUACCUCUAUUCCCCCUGCCCUAGCUCUUCUCUAACUUGGUUAACCAUAACCAUAACCAGAUUCCCUUGCAAUCGAUUUCUCUUUAGUCGUUGGUGUUAGAAGUACCAGCACAAUUUGAGCAUUCCCAUUAACAAAGGUGUUCACAGUUGAGAAACUCUCCUGCCGGGCGCGGUGGCUCAUGCCUGUAAUUCCAGCACUUUGGGAGGCAGAGUUGGGAGGAUCACCUGAUGUCAGGGGUUUGAGACCAGCCUG